rnacentral:lncRNA from 1 species
CAUAUAUAAGGAUAUGAAGGUGUUUUACAGAGAUAAGAAUUCUGUGCAAAAAAGUAAGCCUGGAAGGGAGGCCAAAAAGUAUAGAUAAAAGAAGGUAGAGGUGAUGAAAUAUAAUGAAAAUAUUGAUUGAUUGUUGGUUGUUUAAUUAAAGUCCAGUGGCAAAUAUUUGAUGCAUGUUUAGGACGAAUAUAAAAAAGAUCAAUAAUAAAGUAUAAAGUGAAAUAGUUAUAAAAAAAAUGGAAAACGAUGAUGUGACACCCCCCCCCCCCCCCCCCCAAAAAAAAAAAAACCAAAAAAAACAAACAACUAAACAAAACCACCCACACUCGCAUAUAUACAUGUAUACAUCUCUAAAAAAAUAUAUAAAUUUUGGUUUCAUGGUGCCCCCC